rnacentral:rRNA from 1 species
GCGGACGGGUGAGUAACACGUGAGCAACCUGCCUAUCAGAGGGGGGAUAACGUUCUGAAAAGAACGCUAAUACCGCAUGAAGUACGAAAGGGACAUCCCAUUUGUACCAAAGGAGCAAUCCGCUGAUAGAUGGGCUCGCGUCCGAUUAGGUAGUUGGUGAGGUAACGGCUCACCAAGACCGCGAUCGGUAGCCGGACUGAGAGGUUGAACGGCCACAUUGGGACUGAGACACGGCCCAGACUCCUACGGGAGGCAGCAUG